AUACUUACCUGGAAUGGGUGGUACUAUGAUCAUGAAGGUGUUUUCCCAGGGCUUAUCAAUUGCAUUCCCAAUGUUCUGACCCAUGUGAUUUCCCUAAAUGCAGCAAACUUGACUGCAUAAUUAGUGGUAGUGGGGGAAUGCCUUUGAGCUCUCCCCUA
ensembl:snRNA U1 U1 spliceosomal RNA